rnacentral:rRNA from 1 species
UGGGGAAUAUUGCACAAUGGGCGCAAGCCUGAUGCAGCCAUGCCGCGUGUGUGAAGAAGGCCUUCGGGUUGUAAAGCACUUUCAGCGGGGAGGAAGGCGAUAAGGUUAAUAACCUUGUCGAUUGACGUUACCCGCAGAAGAAGCACCGGCUAACUCCGUGCCGGCAGCCGCGGUAAUACGGAGGGUGCAAGCGUUAAUCGGAAUUACUGGGCGUAAAGCGCACGCAGGCGGUCUGUCAAGUCGGAUGUGAAAUCCCCGGGCUUAACCUGGGAACUGCAUUCGAAACUGGCAGGCUAGAGUCUUGUAGAGGGGGGUAGAAUUCCAGGUGUAGCGGUGAAAUGCGUAGAGAUCUGGAGGAAUACCGGUGGCGAAGGCGGCCCCCUGGACAAAGACUGACGCUCAGGUGCGAAAGCGUGGGGAGCAAACAGG